GAUGAACGCUGGCGGCGUGCUUAACACAUGCAAGUCGAACGAUGAAGCUCAGCUUGCUGGGUGGAUUAGUGGCGAACGGGUGAGUAACACGUGAGUAACCUGCCCUUAACUCUGGGAUAAGCCUGGGAAACUAGGUCUAAUACCGGAUAGGAGCGCCUGCCGCAUGGUGGGUGUUGGAAAGAUUUAUCGGUUUUGGAUGGACUCGCGGCCUAUCAGCUUGUUGGUGAGGUAAUGGCUCACCAAGGCGACGACGGGUAGCCGGCCUGAGAGGGUGACCGGCCACACUGGGACUGAGACACGGCCCAGACUCCUACGGGAGGCAGCAGUGGGGAAUAUUGCACAAUGGGCGAAAGCCUGAUGCAGCGACGCCGCGUGAGGGAUGACGGCCUUCGGGUUGUAAACCUCUUUCAGUAGGGAAGAAGCGAAAGUGACGGUACCUGCAGAAGAAGCACCGGCUAACUACGUG
rnacentral:rRNA from 1 species